UAAUACGUAGGGGGCAAGCGUUGUCCGGAAUCAUUGGGCGUAAAGCGCGUGUAGGCGGCUUGAUAAGUCUGUUGUGAAAGUCCAGGGCUCAACCCUGGAAUGCCGAUGGAUACUGUCAAGCUCGAGUCCGGAAGAGGCGAGUGGAAUUCCUGGUGUAGCGGUGAAAUGCGCAGAUAUCAGGAGGAACACCAAUGGCGAAGGCAGCUCGCUGGGACGGUACUGACGCUGAGACGCGAAAGCGUGGGGAGCAAACAGGAUUAGAUACCCUGGUAGUCCACGCCGUAAACGAUGGGUACUAGGUGUGGGGGGUGUCGACUCCCUCCGUGCCGAAGCUAACGCAUUAAGUACCCCGCCUGGGGAGUACGGCCGCAAGGCUAAAACUCAAAUGAAUUGACGG
rnacentral:rRNA from 1 species